AAUCAAAUAGUUUAAAAAAAAUAUUGAUUUGUGGAGUCAAAGAUAUAAUAAUUUAUUUUGAAUA
rnacentral:tRNA from 1 species